rnacentral:rRNA from 1 species
AUUGAACGCUGGCGGCAGGCCUAACACAUGCAAGUCGAACGGUAACAGGAAGCAGCUUGCUGCUUCGCUGACGAGUGGCGGACGGGUGAGUAAUGUCUGGGAAACUGCCUGAUGGAGGGGGAUAACUACUGGAAACGGUAGCUAAUACCGCAUAACGUCGCAAGACCAAAGAGGGGGACCUUAGGGCCUCUUGCCAUCGGAUGUGCCCAGAUGGGAUUAGCUAGUAGGUGGGGUAACGGCUCACCUAGGCGACGAUCCCUAGCUGGUCUGAGAGGAUGAUCAGCCACACUGGAACUGAGACACGGUCCAGACUCCUACGGGAGGCAGCAGUGGGGAAUAUUGCACAAUGGGCGCAAGCCUGAUGCAGCCAUGCCGCGUGUAUGAAGAAGGCCUUCGGGUUGUAAAGUACUUUCAGCGGGGAGGAAGGGAGUAAAGUUAAUACCUUUGCUCAUUGACGUUACCCGCAGAAGAAGCACCGGCUAACUCCGUG